AUGCACGCUGGCGGCGUGCCUAAUACAUGCCAGUCGAGCGAACGGACGAGAAGCUUGCUUCUCUGAUGUUAGCGGCGGACGGGUGAGUAACACGUGGAUAACCUACCUAUAAGACUGGGAUAACUUCGGGAAACCGGAGCUAAUACCGGAUGAUAUUUUGAACCGCAUGGUUCAAAAGUGAAAGACGGUCUUGCUGUCACUUAUAGAUGGAUCCGCGCUGCAUUAGCUAGUUGGUAAGGUAACGGCUUACCAAGGCAACGAUGCAUAGCCAACCUGAGAGGGUGAUCGGCCACACUGGAACUGAGACACGGUCCAGACUCCUACGGGAGGCAGCAGUAGGGAAUCUUCCGCAAUGGGCGAAAGCCUGACGGAGCAACGCCGCGUGAGUGAUGAAGGUCUUCGGAUCGUAAAACUCUGUUAUUAGGGAAGAACAUAUGUGUAAGUAACUGUGCACAUCUUGACGGUACCUAAUCAGAAAGCCACGGCUAACUACGU
rnacentral:rRNA from 1 species